rnacentral:rRNA from 1 species
GCGUUGAGCUAACCGGUACUAAUGAACCGUGAGGCUUAGCCUUACAACGCCGAAG